rnacentral:rRNA from 1 species
GACUCGCGGAUAUCUCGGCUCUCGCAUCGAUGAAGAACGUAGCGAAAUGCGAUACUUGGUGUGAAUUGCAGAAUCCCGUGAACCAUCGAGUCUUUGAACGCAAGUUGCGCCCGAGGCCUCCUGGUCGAGGGCACGUCUGCCUGGGUGUCA